GUGAGGAAUUUUCCGCAAUGGGCGAAAGCCUGACGGAGCAAUGCCGCGUGAAGGAUGAAGGCCUAUGGGUUGUAAACUUCUUUUCUCAGAAAAGAAUUAUGACGGUAUCUGAGGAAUAAGCAUCGGCUAACUCUGUGCCAGCAGCCGCGGUAAGACAGAGGAUGCAAGCGUUAUCCGGAAUGAUUGGGCGUAAAGCGUCUGUAGGUUGUUUAAAAAGUAUUCUGUCAAAGAUUAGGGCUUAACCCUAGAUAGGCAGAAUAAACUUUUAAGCUAGAGGUUGGUAGAGGCAGAGGUAAUUCCCGGUGGAGCGGUGAAAUGCGUAGAUAUCGGGAGGGACACCAAAGGCGAAGGCACUCUGCUGGGCCAAUACUAACACUGAGAGACGAAAGCGAGGGGAGCAAAUAGGAUUAGAUACCCGAGUAGUCC
rnacentral:rRNA from 1 species